GCACUCACCUUGGCAGUGUAUAUAUUGCCAAAACUGGAAUGAUCUAGAGAAAAUAAGCAUACCCCUUGCACAAAAAUGAUAUACAAAUUUGUCAUCGCUGGCAUAAGAUA
rnacentral:snRNA from 1 species